UUACCGAGUGCGGGCCCCUCGGGGCCCAACCUCCCACCCGUGUUGCCCGAACCUAUGUUGCCUCGGCGGGCCCCGCGCCCGCCGACGGCCCCCCUGAACGCUGUCUGAAGUUGCAGUCUGAGACCUAUAACGAAAUUAGUUAAAACUUUCAACAACGGAUCUCUUGGUUCCGGCAUCGAUGAAGAACGCAGCGAAAUGCGAUAACUAAUGUGAAUUGCAGAAUUCAGUGAAUCAUCGAGUCUUUGAACGCACAUUGCGCCCUCUGGUAUUCCGGAGGGCAUGCCUGUCCGAGCGUCAUUGCUGCCCUCAAGCCCGGCUUGUGUGUUGGGCCCCGUCCCCCCCGCCGGGGGGACGGGCCCGAAAGGCAGCGGCGGCACCGCGUCCGGUCCUCGAGCGUAUGGGGCUUCGUCACCCGCUCUAGUAGGCCCGGCCGGCGCCAGCCGACCCCCAACCUUUAAUUAUCUCAGGUUGACCUCGGAUCAGGUAGGGAUACCCGCUGAACUUAAGCAUAUCAAUAAGCGGAGGAAAAGAAACCAACCGGGAUUGCCCUAGUAACGGCGAGUGAAGCGGCAAGAGCUCAAAUUUGAAAGCUGGCCCCCUCGGGGUCCGCAUUGUAAUUUGCAGAGGAUGCUUCGGGAACGGCCCCCAUCUAAGUGCCCUGGAACGGGCCGUCAUAGAGGGUGAGAAUCCCGUCUGGGAUGGGGUGGCCGCGCCCGUGUGAAGCUCCUUCGACGAG
rnacentral:rRNA from 1 species